rnacentral:rRNA from 1 species
AACGAACGCUGGCGGCAGGCCUAAAACAUGCAAGUCGAACGGGUGUAGCAAUACAUCAGUGGCGCACGGGUGAGUAACGCGUGGGAACGUGCCCUUCAGUACGGGACAACGUCGGGAAACUGACGCUAAUACCGUAUAAUAUCUCCGGAUCAAAGAUUUAUCGCUGAAGGAUCGGCCCGCGUCUGAUUAGUUUGUUGGUGAGGUAACGGCUCACCAAGACUACGAUCAGUAGCUGGUCUGAGAGGAUGAUCAGCCACACUGGGACUGAGACACGGCCCAGACUCCUACGGGAGGCAGCAGUUAGGAAUAUUGGACAAUGGGGGAAACCCUGAUCCAGCCAUGCCGCGUGUGUGAUGAAGGCCUUAGGGUUGUAAAGCUCUUUUACCAGGGAUGAUAAUGACAGUACCUGGAGAAUAAGCUCCGGCUAACUCCGUG